UACGUAGGGGGCAAGCGUUGUCCGGAUUUAUUGGGCGUAAAGAGCGUGUAGGCGGUUUGGUAGGUCCGUUGUGAAAACUCGAGGCUCAACCUCGAGACGCCGAUGGAAACCAUCAGACUAGAGUCCGGAAGAGGAGAGUGGAAUCCUGGUGUAGCGGUGAAUGCGCAGAUAUCAGGAAGAACCACCCGUGGCUAAGGCGGCUCUCUAGUACGGUACUGACGCUGAGACGCGAAGCGUGGGAGCGAACAGG
rnacentral:rRNA from 1 species